AAUUAGUCUCUUUACUUACACCUAUAUAACUCUCACUCACACACAAAAAAGGGGAUGGAAUUGAAAAUAAAAUAAGAAAACAGAAGCCAUCAUCUUCUUCCCAUUAAGAGGCGCAUCAGCUUAAGGGAAAAACCAGAAAUCCUCCUCCUUCUCCAACAAUAAAAAUACUAUUUUCUACCGUUAAAGGAGCCUUCUUCCCAACUGAAAACCAAUAGCUUUUCUCCAUGGAAACUGCCUCAAACUUCAGCUCCAAAACACCCCAAACCAACGUGAAGUAGCUUGAAACUCCAGCCAAACACCUAAACUCUAACGUCCAGCCACCCACAACAACCGAGCAUCACCCCCACGAUGGAGUCGAAUUGAGGCUUUUAAAAUUCGGGGUUCAAAGUUUGCCUUUUCGGCGAGUCUCGAAUUUCCGGCGAGGUCAAUCGAGUCUGCCGGAGCUUCGGUUAAGGUCUUGUCCAUGGUCUGUCGAGUGUUAAAAUCACUCCCUGCUUAACUAAGGUCCGUUUUUUAUGAACUCUUAGAUUUGGAUCUUCAUUUUUCUUCAUCUUGUACUAGCUCAUGUCAAGCUUGAAUAAAGCGUAGGCCAUAUUAAUAUGGUCUUGUAUGUUUUGAUUUACUCUCUGGUUUGAAAUGUUGCCAUCUUUUCAUUUUAUGUUUUGGAUACUCUCCAUAUUUGUUGGGAAAUGCUUUAAAUGUUCAUGAUUUGGUUUCUUCUUUUUAUUUGUUAAUUGAAAUGCAAAAACAAUUACAGAAGUUUAAAUAUAUAGUUUGUUAAUAUGAGAGAUAGAUUAAUUUGUUGAGAUUAUAUUGUGAUAUGAGGGAUUUAAACUCUCGUAUUUUCCUUGCUCUCGUCACUCUAACAGAAAUUAUACAUAUUCAUUCAAGAUUCUAUGAGUCAAGUCACUAACACACUAACUCUCCUAUUUUCUGGCCUUUUGUCUUUCUUUUAAUUUUCUUUUAAGGUGAAAUAAAUUAAUAGAAUAUUUACAUAAUAUUCACAGUAUAAUUUACGUUAUAUUAUUUUAUUCAAAUAUAUAUUGAUGGAAUCAGAAGAGUAAUAGGUGAAAUAUUUUGAUGAAUUACUUACAUUAUAUCCAUAAUAUAAUUUCAGUUAAUAAUGAUUUAUUUUAUUGAAGGAAUAUUAAAAUUAUAUAAAACUUUUACAAUAUAAUAUAUUAUAAAUAUAUUAAAUGUAUAUUUUGCUGAAAAAAUAAAACUGUCCACCACAAAAAUUAAAUAUAGGGAAAAACAAUACCAAAAAUUCCCUUCGUAUAAAUAUAUUUUAGAGGUAUAAUUUCAUUAUAAAACAUACUCAAUUGUAUGUAUUUAAAACAUCGUAUAAAUAUGGUAUGCUUUUAAUUUAGAUGUUGUUAUGUAAUAUUUGUGGUAUAUUAUAGGUAUAAAGUAUAUAUAACGUAUAUAUUUAAUAUGCCAUAUUUUAAAACAUACAUAUUGUAUCAAAUAUUUGGGAAAAUCUGCCAUAUCAGAAAGGAAUUUUAUACUUGAACACUUGAUUGUGUGGCAAGUGUUGAUACUCUGUAUAUUACACCAAAUUAUAUAUCAUUAAAGAAUAAAAAGCAUGAGGAGAAAGAAACAUUUGGUUUAACUCUUGCGUUGGUAAUUUGAUAGAAGAGUGAUUUGUCGAAGUUUGUGAGAAAGCAACAAUAGUAUUUGAGCAUCAUUUUCGAAAAAAUAAAAUAAAAUUGAUAAGUGAUGAGAAGAACUUCUACUGAAAUAAAGGAAGACAUGAAACUUCUCUCAAAGAGAGAAGAGAAAUCUUCUCAACGGUUAUUUAAUAUGAGAGAGAAAUAAGAUAUAAGAAUUUAAACAUAAUCCCUUGUUUUUAGGAAGAGUUAAAAAAUAAAUAUAUUAAAUACUAGUAUUUUAUUUAUAUAUGCUGCAUUUGUAAUAAAAUGUGCUAUUAUUGGAAUAAUCUAAAUAUGGUAACAUUAAUAUAAAUACUAUUUUAUAAGAGCCCUACAAUGUAAAAAUGUCUUCUAUAAUUGUUGUACACUUUCCACAAUAAAUUUCGCAACUUUGGACCUUCAUAUAACCUCAAAUUUUAGGAAAAUAAUUAAUACAUAAACAUUCGUAGUUUGCUUUAGGCACAGUCAAUAAAUCAUCGUGGCCAUGGGUACGGUUUUCGUGGCAUGGUCACGAUACGUAAACCCCAAUUCGAGUGCGCAUUUCACGUGACUCGACCAUAACUUUAAAUAAUAAUAAUAAUAAAAUAUGUUGUAAAUCGCGGGUGCGUUUCACGUGACACGAUUUGCAAUAUAUACAAAAACAACGAGUGCGCGACAUCGCGACUUGUUCAAAUAAAUUCCAUAAAUACUAAAAGAGGUUAAUUAUUUAAUUAAAGGCGGUAAAAGAUAAAAUGCACAAUAGGUUUUUUAAACAUGUAAUAAAUCAGAUAAUUAAGUCAAGUAUUAAUUGUUAAGCGACCGUGCUAAAACCACCGAACUCGGGAGUGCCUCACAUCUUCUCCCGCGUUAACAAAAUUCCUUACCCGGUCUUCUGUGUUCGCGGACUAUAAAUAAGAGUCAAUUUCCUCGAUUUGGGAUUUUAAGAUAAACCGGUAACUUGGGACACCAUAAUAAUUAUCCCAAGUGGCGACUCUGAUUAAAUAAAUAAUCUCAUUUCGAAUAAUGACACUUUAAUUGGAAAAACUCCUUAUCCCCUCGGGUAAAAGGAGGAUGUGACGACACCAUGUGGGUCCGCCCCUGAGUUCUAUCCAAAAAAAGGAAAAAGAAAAAACUAACCAGUCCAAACAUGCAAUAACACUAGCACUACCAGCUACUCUAUGUAGCAGCAUACGUCAAUAUGAUACUCCAAUAUAUCAUGUCAAAAGUCCUAAGUCAUCACUUUAAACACAUAAGGGUUCAAAAUGAACAACAGAAAAUACAUUCAUUACAUAAUUAUAUGAAUCUCAUGAACUUUAAAGACCUAAAUUCCUGAAUUUUAUAAAUACAUGAUUAUAUCUUCACUUUUAUUUUCUCCUCUAAUUCAUGUAGCUUCCAUAAGAUUAUAUUGCUACCAUGCUAUUCUUAAUCAAAAUUUCAUCCUUCGGUUUCAAUGCACAAAUUUCUCUAUCCAGGUUUGUGAUUAAUAUCUUCUAUCAAUCUCUUAUGAUUCGUACCAUUCUGGAAGAACAGCAUGUGAUGGGUUGUGCAAGUAUCAUCAAGGCUUCUUACGAACAUAGAGUCACUGCAGAUGAAGGUUAUUCCGUAGGAAAUUUUUCAUUUUCUUCUUUUCUUGGAAAUUUCAUAGGGCCCUAAGUUGCUCGGCAGUUUAGGUGUCGUACCCGUGUCGAUACGACACUAGUAUGGGUGUGGGUGUGGCUAUGGGAUCCGUACCGGAUACUUUGACCGCAACAGACGGAAAAAUUCGAUACGGGAUACAAUUUGAUUCCCGAAAUCAGAACCAAAACUAGGGCGAAUUUGAAGAAAAUAGCAUACCUUAUUCAGGAAAUCAAUUCUUUACUUAUCUACAACUUGAGAAUAAAAAAGAAAUCCAACUUUACAAGCUAUACAUAAGUAUUCCACCAAAUUCCUCAUAAUUUAGAUAUAUUUUUAUUUUUUUUGAAUUAUUUUUAGCCGGAUUCCCGCACCCAUAUCCGUACUAGAAUCCGUAUCCCGAAUCUUAGAAUUUACAUGUCGAAGAAUCCGACCUCUAGAUUCGCACCUAUGUCGGACACCCGCAUCCGUGUCCGAGCAACUUAGACAAGGCCUACUGAACUAACAACUUACUUUGUUCUUAGAGCUCAGGUUAACUUUCAUGACUACACUUCCAACACUAUGAAAUUGCCUCUUAUAAAUUCUCUUAGACUUUUGCUUUCAUUGGUCCUUAUAGGACCUUAAGUACUUGGAGCAUUUUCAAACCUCUUGGUCUUCUUCCCUUUCCUUAUUGUCUCAAGAGCGAGAGGAGGGAGUUAGUCUAUCAUUUGUCUCACAAGGUUCGUACUAUUUAAUGAGUGAUAUAUAUUGUCGCCUGCAUAAGACCUCAAACAAUGCCAUCAUCCGCUCUAAUGGCGGACAAUGUGGUUUCAUGCCUCUUAAUCCUUUCUCUAAACUUAAUCAAGUAUGGAUCUUCGUACUGCAUUAUUCUCACUCUCGCUACUGGUAUAACUUAUUAUUCAGUACGUAUAUACAAAGGAAAUUCGCCGCUAUACAUUAGCUACACUUCAGGAAUAUAACUAUCAUUUACCGUUCAAAGGACUCAAUGUUUUUCACAUGAAUACUGAUAUACUGAAAAGUAUAAAGCCAAUUGCUAGAUAACUUAAUACUGGUAAACUGAAUAUCUGUAAAGCUGCUAACUAAGAGACUGUAUAAUUGAUAACUGAGGAAAAACUUAUAACUGUAAAUCGUGUUGGUCUUGAUGACUUUUUCUAUAAUUUCUAAUGGGGUAGCACUCUCGUAUGUAACAACUAUCGUCCAACUGUAAGGAUCACGUUGGAGUAAACUCACAAUGACUCAUUGCAAAACUUCUUUCUAUUACUGAUUUAUACUUAAAUGCAUACAAGUGAUAACUCUGAGUUACACCACAUCUCUUUUUCACAUUCUCCUCUAGAUGCAUGCGUGUCCUUGAAUUAGCUACAGUAUCUUGUACCUUCCCCGUGGGGUUUAUUCUCAUAUAGCUUAAUCAUAAACUUAUCCUCAAAUUAGGACCUUCAUUCUGCACAUCUAGUAUCCUUUCUUUACCACAUGAACUGGUAUCUCAUCUGUAGCCCUACUCUUAACUGAACGGACCUCAUAUACAUAUAUAUAUAAUAUAUAGAGUGACUAAUUUAAUUUCCCCUUAUUGAAGAACAUUCACUUUCUGUGUGCAAGGCACAUCAUAAGAAAUCAUCUACUCGUGAAUUUCCAACCUUCAAAUUGACUUGAUAUAUUAAUUAUUUUAUAGUUGUACUCAGAUUUUUUAUCUUAUCCAAGCUACUGAUCGCCGAAAAGUAGAAAGUGCUUUCAUUUUCGAACCUACGUUCACCCUCAUUAUAGAUGAGCUUGUGACAUUUCAAUAUAAUUUUGUAACACUAGCAUCAUACUGAUAUAUGGGAGGUCAAUGGCUUUCCUCUAGUAACUGGAAUUUUCUUUCUUGAAUUGUCACCAUAAGGUAUUUCUUUUGGUGAAACUCAUCUCUUAAUAGGAGUAAGUAACUAUCAGAUAUCUCCAUACCCUUCAUAGUGUCAUAAUUAACUUUACUAAGUUAUAAAUCCACCGUUCACUUUGUUUUACUGGUGUCUUGUAUACUCUUCCAUCAAUGUGCGUGGUUGCACUAUAAAUCGGUAACUUCUAUUUCUUGAGCAAGCUAAAAGCUUAUGUUUCAUCACCAAGUUUGCCCCUUUGUUUUUGCACGUGAAGAUAGGACUGAGUGGUCAUAGUUAUUUAAACCCUCAUUACUUCGUUCAAUCUUAACCUUACAACACUACGUAAUUGCUAGCCACAUUUAUAUAUUUUUCUUUUCAUUGCUCAUUCCUUAGCCAGCCAUUUGCUGAACCAAUUAUUCCUUAGUGAUUACCUUUAUCAUAUUUCUCUAUGAUUGUGCUCUUUAUCCAUGCUCUAAUAGGUUUGAGCAGUAAGGCUUCCUAAAUGGUCAUGUAAAUUGUCUAAACAUAUGCUCUCCCAAUGAACAUUAUUCCUGCACACAUGCAUUAAAUAGAUGUAAGCUUUCAUAUCAUAGGCAUUAAAUUGAGUACUUGGGGGUAUGCUUCCUGAAAUUGAAUUAUUUGCUCGUAGCCCUUUUAUAUAACUAUAUCCUAUUCACAGGUUCUGUAAUUCACUAAUUUCUCAUCAUAAGUAUUUAAUAUAAGUUGAUAACAGGGAAAACUUAUAUGACACACUUCUUAUGAUUGUAGGUUCGCAAAAAUACUGCUACUCUAAAUAUAUCUAACUCUCGUAGGCUUAUAAAAAAUUAUACCUUUUCAUAACUUGCUGCAAUGUGCUAAGGUUUCUGAUUUGUCCCCCCUGAAAUCCUUACUUUAUCAUAUUACUAUCAUGCAGUAAGUGUUGCGAGUCAUUAUCUUAGUGAUAUGUAGGGAACUUUGGCCCUAGUGUGAACAUGAGUGGUCUUAACUGGUAGUAUGAGAAUUCUAGCGGUCAAGAUUAUGACCUACUGGAUCCAAGGUUUUAAUUAGUUCCCUCCUGAAUUAGUUCCCUCCUGAAACUCGAGAUGCCUCCCCUUGGCAUGCCUUUUUCCCUUCCACCACUAAUCAUAUUCAUAAUCAUGUCUAUUAUUAUUCUAAUCAUAUCUCAUUUCUAUGAGCCACAGGAUGUUCAUUGCAACCUUGGCUGAUUUGCCUAUCUUUCACCAAUUGGUCCGCGUGCGUUUUCAAGAUCCUAACAUAGAAACUUAAGGUAAGAAAUUUCUUAUUCGAUCACCAUCUUGUAUCUUGUCAUCUAUGGUGGCUGUCAUCGUGACUGGUCGUCUUAACGUUUCAAACGAAUCCUGAAUGAAACUCGUCAAUAUACUUUUUGAUAUUUUCAUAUUCGCUUCAUUAAUAUUAACUCUCCUCGAGUCUUGAUAAUGCCACCCCACUUUCCUCCACAUAAGCUCUUAGCAUUAAACUGCAAAUUCAGGGUUACCUAUUUCAUCUAGUUCUCGAAGUUUUAGCUGACAUCUCCUUAAUUGUAUCUCAAAUAACUCGAGUUACUACUCUCCUAUCGAGUCUUGCGCUCUUUGAUCGCGUCGCAUAUGCUAAUCAUUCAUGAGAUUGAUAAGAGUGGCAUAAAAAUCCGUACUUUAAGAUUUAACGCAUGAUUAAGGAAUCAAAGAAGGGAAAUUUUCCUAACAUGUCCUCAGCCUCCCCAAAUAUAAGUAUGGUGCACAACAUACCCAUAAGUGAGACUCUACUAGACACGGCUCAUGACUUCCUAGGACACCUAAACCUGGCUGCUCUGAUACCAACUUGUCAUGCCCCCAAACUACGUGGGACGUGAUGACGCUCAACCUACCUUACCUGUCAAGCAAGCCUUAUUCUAACUAACUGAAAGUCGAUGUACAUAAUAUCGAAGAAAUUCAUAAAUAAGUCUUAAAAUAAUAAUUAUCUGAAAACUAAAAUCUAAUAUUAAUAUUAACAUGUCUGACAACUGAACCCACUAGCAAAGUCACGAGCCUCUAUCUGUAAGUUUAAAUACAUACGUCUACGGGGCAUUUCCCUAGAAUAAUAUGAAAGUCAAACAAUAAUUAAAGACUUAAAAAGGACACCAACACCGCUGGGAGGAAACAAUGGGCUUGCCAAUUGAGUCUACGGAGCAUGUCUCUAGCCACAUAUCUCGUCAUCUACAAUCUCAACACCUACCACAUGACAUGACAGGCUCAAACAGGCUAAGUACCACCAAAGGAUACCCAGUAAGUUUCAUAGGCUACCUCCUAAAAAGGCAGAAUGAGACCUUUUGGAAAAAAAAUCAUAAUGUGAAAUGAAGUGAUUUCACAGAAUAUCAUAUCAACAAAAUCUAUAAACAAGAAAUGAGUUAAAACCUGAAACUAUAAGUUGAUAACUCCAAUUUCAUAUCAACAAAAUCUAUAAACAGGAAAUGAGCUGAAAACUAAAACUAUAAGCUCAUAACUGAAAACAUGAAAACUGAGUCUAUAAUUGAUAAUUGAAACCUAAGGUAAAAACUAAGUAUUUUUAAUGAAAUAACAUUUCUGAAAAAUAGUUACAUAUAGUGGCCCUACGUACGUGAGAUCUAGCAACACGCACGGGGGAGUGUCGGCCAAUCUCCCCAGCAAACAAUAGCCCCUACGAGCGUGGGGUAGCUAACCCUGGCCUCGUGGCACUCACGCAAGGUGAGGUCAGCUAGCUCUCCCUUCCUGAAUAUGAUCACAUUAAUGCAUGAAUGAAUGUUAAACUAAAUGAAAAUAUCAUAACAACGUCAACUAAUAAUUGAUAAUAUAUGUAAGCAUAUAAGACUGUCACAUUUUCAUACUACCGAAUAAGAAUAAGAAUAGAGUAAACUGAAUACUGGAGCACAAGGAGACAUAGCAUAGGAAUUUUAUCGAAUAUAUAUAGCACGUGGGUUCUAAUAGAAUUUCCUAUUAGGAGAGAAAUCUUUAAAACUUACCUUGAAUCCAAACUUAAAGAUCUGAUGCAAGAAUUUCAAUACUAAACCAUCGUAGUCCACCGCCAACAUUUGAUUGUUAAUAUGCCUCGACCUCGCGAUUUGUUUCUACCUAAUCCUUCAAGGAUUGCUGGGAUUUUCGUUGUUGACUUGUAAGCUAUCCAUAUCACUUUGUUCCCUUUCAAAAAUUGUCGUGGUGGAAUUUAAGUGACAAGCAUUAGCUAUUCUUCAAAUCCCUAUAAUUUUCCAUCUCAUUCCUACCAAAAGUGAAAUACAAUGAUGUAUAUGUCUCCCCCUAUGCUUCAUGUUUUGAGAAUAACUUACAGUAAAGCUAUUUUACUGUCCUUAUUUGGUAAUCCUUAAGUGGCUGCUAAAACCCUAUUUCUUUUCGUUUCAAUUUCGUGACCUGGCUGCUGUAUUUUCCUUCUUUUAAAAUUGUCAAAUAAAGAAGCAUAAGAAUGCCCUGGUGUACAACAUCGUCUUUGGCCUAGGCUUGUAAUUCACAUGUAACCUCAAUUGUAAGCCCACUUUGUGAUAAUCCUUUACUCCCUUAGUUUUUCAUAGAAAAUAAUUAAUUAAUUACGUAGCCAAAAUACUAAUUGGCAAUUUCAUAUUUCUGCCAUCUUUAAAAUAUUAUACUAAACCAACUUGAUUUCAAUUUAUUCCUUAACCCAUAUAUUGACCUUAAAGUAUCCUUGGACAUGACAAUUUUACUCCUAUUUCCAAUCAAUUAGUCAUCGAUUUGGACUUCAAAGAGUGUUAAAGUAGCCCCGGACUUUACAUUCUGGUGCUACUAGGCACAUAUGUUCUAACACAAAAGACUUUGUGUCUUACACCCAAGUUGAGCAAGGAGAAGAAGUUGUAUAUCUUAGUAACUCAAGGACUACUCGAGUUCAUGGAAAAGACAAAGUUCUUCUCAAACUCACAUCUGGCAAAACUUUGGCAUUGAAUGAUGUAUUGCAUGUUCCUACUUUCCGAGCCAAUUUGGUCUUUAUGGGAUUAAUAGAAAAAGUGAGGGUGAAGGUUUUUUUUAAAUCUGAUAAGGUCGUGUUUGUCACAACCCGAAAUCCACUAUAGGUCGCGAUGGCACCUAACGCCGCCGCCAGACAAGCCAACGGUGGUUGAUCAAUUUAAUUACUCAUUUUAUUACUUUCAAAAUCAUAAAUUUAAAAACAAUUACACUUUUAAAUCCACGAGAAUGUACAAAAUUGUAGUUUUUAAGAGAAAUGAUAGGCGAUGAUAAUAUACAGAACCGUAAGCAUCAACUAAUAUACUACAAAACCCAGUGUCACAAGUACAUGAGCAUUUACUAAGAAAUACAAUAAUAAUACAACAUUUGUCUAGAAUAUAAAUGAGACAGGAUAAAUUAAAUAAUACGAUGGAGAUUCUGUGGACUAAGAUGUGUAGCCUGGAAUGUAACUCACAUAAAGUCCCCUCAACAGCUGCGCCUACGUGCCAAGAUGAUCACCAAAUGAACCUGUCAGAUCCUGCACAUUUAGUACAUAAGUGCAACAUAAGUACGAAAAUUAACGUCUACCCAGUAAGUAUCUAGCCUAACCCCGGAGAAGUAGUGACGAGGGGUCGACAUCGACACUUACUAGUAGUCCAAUAAAUCAACAUGGUAAAUCAUAAAUAGAUAGGAAGCGAAACAGUAGUAGUGAGGUGAAACUGUAAUUAACACAUUCUUCCAAAAUUUCUUUCUAACGAUAUCAAUUUCUCAAUCUCGUAUUCUAUCUCAAUAGCUCAGAAAUAUCAAGUGUCAAUAACAAAUGGAUAAGAAAUACCAUAUAAAAUGCAAGGCAUCAGUGGACGGAAAAUCUCAUGAAUAUUCGGAUUGCUAGAGAUAUAACGCACGAUUAUGCCGAGGUAGUGCAGUCAGAUCUCAAAAAGAGUAUGAUACUGCCGAGGCGAUCGGUCCGAUCCCAUCAUAUCGUGUACACUGUCGAGGGUCGAGCAACACGAACCAUAGAUGCAUCUAUUAUACUACCGAGGCGAAUAACCCAUUCCCAUGAGAGUGUGGUACAUAAUCCUGAUAAGACGUUCGGCCCGCUCUACAAGAAAUGAAAGGAUUUAUCGAAUUACGAGACACGAGCUUACAAUACAGUAUAUGAACACAAGGUGAUUAUAAACUUUACUGUUUCUCAAAUAACAUGCCAACAACUCAAGGUAAUAAGGCUCGGCCUAAUAUAUAUGUAUAUAUUUCUAAAUCAAAUUCAAUUAUAUUUUCAAUAAAUUAAGCCACGUGAAUGAAUUCAAAAAUUUCAAGUAUUACAUGGUAAAGUCCUAAGUCUACCCGGUCGUAAACAUGCUUUAGCUACGUACAGACUCUCGUCACCUCAUGCGUACGUAGCACCCACAACUAUUAACACAUAACAAUUACAUCACCUAGGGGUAGUUUCACCUUCACAAAGUUAGACAGGAGACUUACCUCGCUCCGAAAUUUCAUAACCGGCUCCAACGCCUCUCUAACACCUCAACUCAAAGACAAACGUCCCGAAACUAGUCCAACAACGUGUAAAUCAAUCAAAAUAUACUCCAAUGCUUACAAUUUAAUAAUUUAUAAUGAUUCCCAACUCCGCUCGAAAAGGUAAUAAAGUCAACCCUCGGGCCCAGAUUUCAAAAAUAUUUCGAAGAUAAACUUUACCCAUAACAUUACGAACUCAAAUAUAUAAUUUAUAUUCCCAAUUCCAUGUCCAAUUUUGUGGUAAAAAUUCAAAAAUACCAAUUUCUAGAUUUUCUCUUAAAAUCCCACAAUUUUCAUAAAUUUUCAUGUAUUUACAAGCACAAAUUCAUAUAUUUAACUCACAACUUGUAGAAAUUACUUACCUCAUGAUUGGCGAUGAAAAUGGCGCUCCAAAAUCGCUCCAAGUCCGGCUCUCAUGGAAGAAAUGAAAUGAAAAUGAGUCAAACCCAUAUACUUAAACAAGUCUUCUGCCCAGCGAUCAUCACACAUGCGGUCACUUGACCGCUUCUGCAGUUCUGCAGGUGCGGCAAGAAAUUCCGCUUUUGUGGUUCCCUUCAGGCCUCUCCUCCUCCGCAUCUGCGGGCAGGCUUUCACACUUGCACACGUUCCUCCGCUUAUGUGGAAAUACCUCCCCUUCCCCCAUUUUAUGAAUAAGUCAUAAAUCACAAUACGAACCUAUUUCAAGGCUCGGAACCUCAAACGGACAUCAAUAACACCAAAUUCCACUUCAAAUCAAACUUAAGAAAUUCUUAAACUUUUAAAAUGUUAACUUUCCAUAAUAAGCGUCGAAAUGCUCCUGGACCACCCGAUACUUAACCCGAAGAUACGCCCAAGUCCGAAAUUAUCAUACGAACCUAUUGGAAUCUUCAAAUCCCGAUUCCGAGGUCGUUUACUCAAAAUUCAAACCAUAGUCAACUUUUCUAACUUAAAGCUUUCGAAUUUAGAAUUUUCUUUCCAAAUCAAUUCCGAACAUUCCAAAAUUAAAUUCCGACUAUGCGUACAAGUCAUAAUACAUGAAGUGAAGCUACUCAAGGCCUCAAACUGCCGAACGACAUGCUAGAGCUCAAAACGACUGGUCGGGUCGUUACAUUCUCCCCCACUUAAACAUACGUUCAUCCUCGAACGUGCUAAGAACUGCUCCGGAGUUGCCUCAAAAUCACCGUUUAACACUUUGUGCACCUACCCGUGCCACCACAACCCAGUUGAGCCCAUUAGUUCGAGCCAGACGGAAGAUUCUCCCUUCUAUUUAGUCAAUAAGCCUUAGAACCAAAUUCCAACCUCUGAAUUCCUCUACAAGACCUGAGUCUAACAUACGAACACCGUAUCAAUCACCACACACUAUACCAAAACAUGAUCAUGCACCCAUGUUGACAUCACACAAUGCACCGCAUAACUCAUUUGCCCAAGGCAAUCCCCCUCCAAGCACAAGAACUGCAAUUUCACUGACCCGAAGCCUAUAGUAUACCUCAUAACACAUAUAAGCGAUGUUCCAACUCUCGCAAUACUGCCACGAUGGAAAAGAUGUGUAGAAACUCAUAACCACCUGCUGAAUCAACAAAUCAUGGAGUCUCUCCUCCUGACAAGGACCAUUACCUCAUUCUGAACUGAAUAACGAUAUUUGCUCUUUAAUAUAACUUAUAUAAAUCUGAUUGCACUGAUUUCAGGUCCAAUAAUCUCGUCUCACCCAGUACAAGAUGCUCAUGCAAUAAGCCACCCCAAACACUGGCCAAGACUUCAUAUGACAUCAUCGAUGUGCCGACAAGCCACAACUUGAAUAUGACACAUAAGGAGGAACAAACUCUGGAAAAGAACUACCCAGCCCGCAUAACGAAUAAAAUGGUCGAACAGAUGCUAUGAACCCUUCUCAGAGAAUGAGAAACAAAAUGCACAAGAAUAGAUAUAGGGAACCAUACUCAACAUCUCGCUGUUGCGGCGUGCAACCCGAUUCACACAUGAUACCGUUGCGACAUGCAACCCGAUCCAAACAACAUACCCGUGGCGUCAUGCCACCCGAUCCACACAUAAUAGUAAAUAAGGGAAUACCCAUCAAGCCAUAAUACUCAUACCUACAAAAUACCCGAAUAUCGACCACAAGCACGCCAAGUGCAAAAAUACAACCCUGGGGAGACGGAUAGCGCCAUACGCUACAAAACCCAAGCACGACUAAGGUGCAAUAAAUGACCUGCAUCUCGAGAGCCAUCGUGUUCACAUAAUACCACAAGCUACACGGGAUCACAACACAUGUGCGAAUAAUCAAGUCGUCUCACAACCCACAUGGCAUAAUAAAAUUUUAUAUGGAAUAGCUGACGACGGGAAUAACAUCCAACGCUCGAAUACUCCUCCAUAAGCAAUGCUAAGUUGAAUGAACAUAUCCGACCUGAUGUAGAGCAUACAUUCACAUUAGACCCAUCAACGGACCUCAAGCCGAUUCUGAUCAUACUAUAAUGGGCUAAUAACCUUUCAAGGAUCCACAAUAACCUUAUCCAUGACACAUAAGAACAACCUUCAAAUCCGGAACAAACUUACACAGUCCACCACCCAAGGAAUAGAACGCCUCUCAGGCAUAAACUCUUACAUUAGCGCUAGUACCAGAAUCUUCAUACUUGGUUCCAAUUAUAACCAUCAAGUGACUAACAUGCCACACUUAUACAAUUUCCCCCUGAGGUACGCUCCCACAACCUUCCGCACCAGGUAGCAAAGUCUGCACCUCCAUACCACCAACCGUACUAAUUCGGUAAAGCAAUCAAGAAUCCGCAAAUCAAUACACAAAGCCUCUUACACAGAACACUGCUCUCAAGUAACACUAAAGAAAAUGUCAGCUUACUCUGAACAUAUGAAUUCUUCCCUGCUCAUCUGAGCUCGUAACAAUCCUGUCAAUACUGAAUCGCAACCUUGAUCCUUCACUUUCAAUUCCCAUGCCACUUACUAUACCUAUCAUGAUGCUACGUGAGAGUACAAGAAUUCAUCAUAACUCCCGAACUACUAGUAGAAUAAGCACUCCAUUGGCUAGGAACCUUUUACUUAACUCAUUUCAAAAGAACCAUUGCAACACGUAACUGUAUCCCCCAACCGCAGAAAAUACAAACCUCAAGCCGUAGUCUAAACCAUCAUAACUCUUCCGGGAUCCAUUUACACAUAACAAGGCCAUUAUAAUCAAAUACCUCCAAAUCAAUCAAAUUACGAUGGUUGUCAAGCCCGCACGUACAGCCGCAGAUCACCCGCAUAGCUUACAUACCUAAGGAAAUGAUCAUUGCCACAAUCACGCUGAUUCAAACCAUUAUUGACCGGCCCAACUUCUUCCAAUUUUACUCUUGACUUGCCUUAGAAAUAAUAAUAGCUCCAUUCGAGAACAUAACGAAACUCAACAGCACUCCUCCCGAGCGACCCAAUUCACGAGACCACAUCGUCUCAAUACCCAUGAACCAUCACAUACCCUCCUCAUGCGCACAAUAGCAUCUCAAACUGGUACACCCAUUCUGAAAGACCUUCCGUGAAUCCGACACUAUUUCUCCCAUUUUCUCCAAUACUGCCUCAUAGACCCGAUGAUACGAUAGAAAAUUCCCCAAGUAUUCUUGUAAGGCCCCGUAAAUAUUUCACUUAAACCCGGGUUUCGUAAUGCCAGGAUAGACUUAUGCAUUGUUGAUUGUUGAAAUUUUUGCGGUUCAGACCCUUUGGGUUGAAUACAGGGCAUUUCUAGGGAGUCCAACUUUUUAGGGAGUUGGAGAAUUUAUUUUAGAAAUACAGGGCAUUUCUGCGAUCCAUUCUGCAGUCGUAAAACUGGUCUGCGGACCACAUAUCGGCCGCAGACUGAAGCAGAGAACUUGGCAAAAAUUUCUGACCAUUAUGCGACCGCACAAUCGUUUUGCAGGCCGCAUAACUCAUCGCAGACCCAACAUGAAAGUUUUCGGAGGGAAGUUCUGCGGCACAUUAUGUGACCGCAGAAUAGGUCUGCGGACCGCAGGCUGGUCGCAGAGUGGGACAGGCUUGCCCAGUUCCGGAGGGACAUUAUGCGGCCCAUUUUGCGGAUCGCAGACUUGCGUCGGGGCUUCAUUUUUUCUAAUUUUUAGACCCGACCCCAUUCUUAUAAAAUAACAUUGGGGAUAAUUUUAGAAGGUUAAAAACAUACAUUCUAGAGAGAGGGAGUGCCAAGGAGUGAGAUGGAAAGUUCCUAAACUCAUCAUCCAUCAAUUCUUACUCAAAGUUGAAGAAACUGCAAGAAGAAUUCACUAGGUCUUCAUCCUAGAGGUAGGUUUCUACUCCAUAACCCUCAAUUUCGUGAUUCUAAUUGAAAAUAGGUAAUAUGCCAAGCAAUUCUUGGGUGUGGGAGUUGUUUAUUUUUACAUGCAUGUACCAUCAAGGGUAAUGGGAGGAUUGUUGAACUCUUUUGGGUGAACUUUGGAUAGUGGGGUGAAAGAAUCCACCAUAGGAGGACCUUGAAACCUUAAUGCACACCUAGUGUUUGACAAAAUGUUCAAAUGAGAUGGAACUAUGAACUCUUUCCUAAUUUGUGUUCAAUUUUACUAUAUCUCUAAAUAGAUCAAAGUGGAUAAUAUUUUUGGAACAUUGUAGUAAUUUAAAAAUCUCGAGGCAAGGUAUGUUAACUAAACUUCUCUCUUAGAAUUGAAUUCCCACAAUGUUCUUGCAAGUCCCGAGUUGUCCAUUAUGAAUUGACUUUUAUGAAUAAGUUUGGUGUCGAAAGAUGUAUUUAUAUGAAUAUGUUCAAAAUGUAUUCCGGAGUAUUCUUAUCAUGUUAUGUUAUUCUCCGGGAGCAUGUUCAAAAGUAUGAGAAUGUAUUAAAAUGUUGAGACUUCAAGUCAAGCCCAAAUGAAAGUAAUCAUAUCAAAUUGUGUAAGAAAUCACAUGUGCUUAAGACCCUAAAUUGCUCAAAUGUGUGCUUAAAGUCUUGAAUAGAAAUGUUUGUUGUUGACAAUCCGUGUUAGUAUUUGAAAGUGGAAUAGUAAGCAUGAAUUAUGAAGUACGGCCAAUGUGGCAAGAAUGAUAUUGCGUUAUGGACAAUUGUACCAAUAUAAUGAAUGACAUAUAAAGGAAUAUGAAUGGAGUGGUAAAUACUUUUGAUAAUAAAUACCUUGGGAGUAUCGUUUAGCCACCAAGGAAGAGUAGGUCAAAAUAACGUAACCCCGAAACUACACGUGUCGGUGUAGGAGUAAUUGAAGGGUAAAUCCUCGUGUUAAUGUGAUGAGACUGUUCCCCCUUAUAUGGGAUGAGAUUGGUGUGUUGAGAUGUCUCCCCUUAAAUGGGAUGAGAUUGUUGCUAGCGAGAUGUGAUGUGAUGUCGACCCAUACGGCAUUGUGGUGAGAUGACUUAGCCGAUCGGGCUGAGAUCGGACGCCAUUCUGUGCACAUGGUGGUAUUGUGAGUAUAUGUCUCGGGGUGAGACGACUUAGCCGGUCGGGCUGAGAUCGGACUCCGUACUAAAAUACGGUGGUGUAUCGGUGCUAAGAUCUCCCAACUUAAAUUACUAAGAUUUACUUGAAAUUUACCUUUCCCCUAACUUGACGCCUUGUUACUGUCUGGGUUUAUUAUUGAUUUCAUGUUUUAUUCUCCGUUUACUGUUACUCAUUCUAUUGAGAGGGUGUUUAGUUUUUCAUACUAGUACUAUUCCAUAUGUACUAACGUCCCUUUUGCCGGGGGCGCUGUAUCUUUAAUGGGUGCAGGUUGUUCCGUAGCAGGUAGUAUUGAUUAGUGAUAGCAGCACACCCUCUCUUCAGCUGAUUUGGUAAUUCCCACUUCAUUUCGGGAUCCUGUAUCUCUUAUCCUUUGAACAUAGCAUUUUGAGGUAUAGUGUAGCUCCCUGGAAAAAUUUCAAAGUACUUAAGCGCUAUUAAGAAAGUUGAUGUGCGCUAGUUAUAUUAUUUUGUAUGUAGACGAGGACUAUUAAUAUGAUGGAUAUCAAUUGGAUAUGAUAAUAAGUGUACGAGGCAUAUUAUAAGUGAUAUGGGGUCUAAGGAUAGCCCUAAGUCCAAGUCAAGUUGGAAAUUACAUGAUAGACUAAAGUUCUAAAUAAGUACGCAUAAGAUCAAACUUUGGACGAGCAUAUCUACAUAUAUAUAUAUAUAUAUAAGGAGUUAUGUGAUUUACAACCUAGAAAAUGAAAGAUCUUCGAGUGUAGUUUCUAACUCUUCAAACCGUUUGUCAUUUGGACAUUCUUGCAAGAAGUUAUGACCAAAUUACCAAAGGCUGGCAGAGGAGUAUGCGUAUACGAAGCAUCCGAGGCCGCGUCCGAAAGAAAGGCUGGCAGUGAAGUGUUGCCAUAUCAUCUAGGUCCACAUCCAAGCUUUGAAGAGGAGUGAAGCGAGGCCGUGUACGAAACCCAGAAAUCUGGGCCUAUAAAUAGAAAGUCGGGGGAGGAGAGUAUUUUGAGUAUUGGGGGUUAGGGUUCUUGAUGUGAAUGGGCGAUUUUAAGCUCAAAUCAAAUCUUU
rnacentral:lncRNA from 1 species